UGCAAGUCGAACGGUGAACCGCCUUCGGGCGGGAAUCAGUGGCGAACGGGUGAGUAACACGUGGGUAACCUGCCCUCCACUCUGGGAUAACUCCGGGAAACCGGGGCUAAUACCGGAUACGACCUGAGGCGGCAUCGCCUCGGGUGGAAAGUUUUUCGGUGGAGGAUGGACCCGCGGCCUAUCAGCUUGUUGGUGGGGUAAUGGCCUACCAAGGCGAUGACGGGUAGCCGGCCUGAGAGGGCGACCGGCCACACUGGGACUGAGACACGGCCCAGACUCCUACGGGAGGCAGCAGUGGGGAAUAUUGCACAAUGGGCGAAAGCCUGAUGCAGCGACGCCGCGUGAGGGAUGACGGCCUUCGGGUUGUAAACCUCUUUCAGCAGGGACGAAGCGCAAGUGACUGUACCUGCAGAAGAAGCACCGGCUAACUACGUGCCAGCAGCCGCGGUAAUACGUAGGGUGCGAGCGUUGUCCGGAAUUAUUGGGCGUAAAGAGCUUGUAGGUGGCUCGUUGCGUCGGGAGUGAAAACCCGCGGCUUAACCGCGGGCCUGCUUCCGAUACGGGCGAGCUAGAGUUCGGCAGGGGAGACUGGAAUUCCUGGUGUAGCGGUGGAAUGCGCAGAUAUCAGGAGGAACACCGGUGGCGAAGGCGGGUCUCUGGGCCGAUACUGACACUGAGAAGCGAAAGCGUGGGGAGCGAACAGGAUUAGAUACCCUGGUAGUCCACGCCGUAAACGUUGGGAACUAGGUGUGGGGUCCAUUCCACGGGCUCUGUGCCGCAGCUAACGCAUUA
rnacentral:rRNA from 1 species